rnacentral:rRNA from 1 species
UGGCAUCGAUGAAGAACGCAGCGAAAUGCGAUAAGUAAUGUGAAUUGCAGAAUUCAGUGAAUCAUCGAAUCUUUGAACGCACAUUGCGCCCGCCAGUAUUCUGGCGGGCAUGCCUGUUCGAGCGUCAUUUCAACCCUCAAGCUCAGCUUGGUGUUGGGGAUCGGCAAGGCGUCCUCCGGGUCGCGCCGUCCCCCAAAUUUAGUGGCGGUCUCGCUGUAGCUUCCUCUGCGUAGUAAUACACCUCGCUCUGGAGUCUCGGUGCGACCACGCCGUAAAACCCCCAACUUUUUCUGGUUGACCUCGAAUCAGGUAGGACUACCCGCUGAACUUAAGCAUAUCAAUAAGCGGAGGAAAAGAAACCUACAGGGAUUGCCCUAGUAACGGCGAGUGAAGCGGCAACAGCUCAAAUUUGAAAUCUGGCCCUCGGGUCCGAGUUGUAAUUUGUAGAGGAUGCUUUUGGUGAGGUGCCUUCCGAGUUCCCUGGAACGGGACGCCAUAGAGGGUGAGAGCCCCG